GACGAACGCUGGCGGCGUGCCUAAUACAUGCAAGUAGAACGCUGAAGGAGGAGCUUGCUUCUCCGGAUGAGUUGCGAACGGGUGAGUAACGCGUAGGUAACCUGCCUGGUAGCGGGGGAUAACUCUUGGAAACGAUAGCUAAUACCGCAUAAGAGUAGAUGUUGCAUGACAUUUGCUUAAAAGGUGCAAUUGCAUCACUACCGGAUGGACCUGCGUUGUCUUAGCUCGGUGGUUAGGUAACGGCUCACCAAGGCGACGAUACAUAGCCGACCGGGGGGGGGGAUCGGCCACACUGGGAAGGAGACACGGCCCCGACCCCUACGGGAGGCAGCAGUAGGGAACCUUCGGCAAUGGGCGGAAGUCUGACCGAGGCACGCCGCGUGAGUGUAGAAGGGUUUCGGAGCGUAAAGCUCUGUUGUAAGAGAAGAACGAGUGUGAUAGUGGAAAGUUCACACUGUGACGGUAUCUUACCAGAAAGGGACGGCUAACUACGUG
rnacentral:rRNA from 1 species